GGUAAAGUUAUUAAGGGCGUACGGGGAAUGCCUAGGCACAUAGAGCCGAUGAAGGACGUGGCAAGCUGCGAUAAGCCUCGGGAAGGAGCAAACAUCCUUAGAUCCGAGGAUUUCCGAAUGGGGUAACCCAAAUCGAGUCAUGUCGAUUAACUCCUGCCUGAAUAUAUAGGGCAGGGUGAGACAACGAGGUGAACUGACACAUCUAAGUAACCUCAGGAAGAGAAACCAAAAGGGAUUCCCUCAGUAGCGGCGAGCGAACGGGGAAGAGCCUAAACCAUCAACGUGCCAAGCUUACAGGCGUUGCGCUGGUGGGGUUGCGGGAUCGAUUCGGAGUCUGCUGUAACAGACUCGGCAAGUCAGAAAAUCCGAGAUUAGUUGAAUGGUCUGGAAAGUCCAAUCGUAGAAGGUGAUAAUCCUGUAAACGAAAAUCAAGGAUCUUGCUGGAAUCGACACCCGAGUAACACGGGACACGAGAAAUCUUGUGUGAAUCUGCCGGGACCAUCCGGUAAGGCUAAAUACUCCUAUGUGACCGAUAGUGAACUAGUACCGUGAGGGAAAGGUGAAAAGUACUCCUAACGGAGAGUGAAAUAGAACCUGAAACCGUAUGCCUACAAGCAGUCAGAGCUCCAGUUAUCUUCGGAUAGCGGGGUGAUGGCGUGCCUUUUGCAUAAUGAGCCAGUGAGUUACUCGUAUAUUGCAAGGUUAAGACUAAAAGGUCGGAGCCGUAGCGAAAGCAAGUCUGAAUAGGGCGUUGAGUAAUAUGCGGUAGACCCGAAACCGAGUGAUCUAGCCAUGGCCAGGAUGAAGUCCCGGUAACACGGGAUGGAGGUCCGAACCCACCAGCGUUGAAAAGCUGGGGGAUGAGCUGUGGUUAGGGGUGAAAGGCCAAUCAAACUCGGAGAUAUCUGGUUCUCGCCGAAAUGCCUUUAGGGGCAGCGUCAUGUAAGUGUAUCGGGGGUAGAGCACUGAAUGGGCUAGGGGGCCUACAAGCUUACCGACCCCAAUCAAACUCCGAAUACCGGUAUUAUAAUGCAUGGCAGUGAGCUCAUGGGGGAUAAGCUUCAUGAACAAAAGGGAAAGAACCCAGACCAUCAGCUAAGGUCCCAAAGUCGAUGCUAAGUGAUAAAGGAUGUCAAAUCGCCCAGACAGCUAGGAGGUUGGCUUAGAAGCAGCCAUCCUUUAAAGAAAGCGUAACAGCUCACUAGUCAAGGGGUUUUGCGCCGAUAAUUCCCGGGACUGUUAAGCAUAGUACC
rnacentral:rRNA from 1 species